UACGUAGGGUCCGAGCGUUGUCCGGAAUUACUGGGCGUAAAGAGCUCGUAGGUGGUUUGUCGCGUUGUUCGUGAAAACUCACAGCUCAACUGUGGGCGUGCGGGCGAUACGGGCAGACUUGAGUACUGGAGGGGAGACUGGAAUUCCUGGUGUAGCGGUGGAAUGCGCAGAUAUCAGGAGGAACACCGGUGGCGAAGGCGGGUCUCUGGGCAGUAACUGACGCUGAGGAGCGAAAGCGUGGGGAGCGAACAGG
rnacentral:rRNA from 1 species